rnacentral:rRNA from 1 species
AGUGAACGCUGGCGGUAGGCCUAACACAUGCAAGUCGAACGGCAGCACAGUAAGAGCUUGCUCUUGCGGGUGGCGAGUGGCGGACGGGUGAGGAAUACAUCGGAAUCUACUUUUUCGUGGGGGAUAACGUAGGGAAACUUACGCUAAUACCGCAUACGACCUACGGGUGAAAGCAGGGGAUCUUCUGACCUUGCGCGAUUGAAUGAGCCGAUGUCGGAUUAGCUAGUUGGCGGGGUAAAGGCCCACCAAGGCGACGAUCCGUAGCUGGUCUGAGAGGAUGAUCAGCCACACUGGAACUGAGACACGGUCCAGACUCCUACGGGAGGCAGCAGUGGGGUAUAUUGGACAAUGGGCGCAAGCCUGAUCCAGCCAUACCGCGUGGGUGAAGAAGGCCUUCGGGUUGUAAAGCCCUUUUGUUGGGAAAGAAAAGCAGCAGGUUAAUACCCCGCUGUUCUGACGGUACCCAAAGAAUAAGCACCGGCUAACUUCGUG